rnacentral:rRNA from 1 species
AAUGAACGCUGGCGGUAUGCCUAACACAUGCCAGUCGAACGGCAGCACAGUAAGAGCUUGCUCUUACGGGUGGCGAGUGGCGGACGGGUGAGGAAUACAUCGAAAUCUACUUUUUCGGGGGGGAUAACGUAGGGAAACGUACGCUAAUACCGCAUACGACCUACGGGUGAAAGCAGGGGAUCUUCGGACCUUGCGCGAUUGAAUAAGCCGAUGUCGGAUUAGCUAGUUGGCGGGGUAAAGGCGAACCAAGGCGACGAUCCGUAGGUGGUCCGACAGCAUGAUCAGACACACGGGAAGUGAGAAACGGCCGAGACACUUACGGGAGGAAACAGUGGGGAAUAUUGGACAAGGGGCGCAAGCCUGAUACUGCCAUAUGGGGUGGGUGAAGAAGCACUACGGGUGGUAAAGCCAUUUUGUUCGGAAAGAAAAGCAGCAGGUUAAUCCCCCGUUAUAAUGACGGUACCCAAAGAAUAAGCACCGGCUAACUCCGUG